GGGCACCGUUGUUGUGAUCAUAAUAACUUUUCGAAUCGCAUGGCUUGUGCUGGCGAUGUUUCAUUCAAAUUUCUGCCCUAUCAACUUUCGAUGGUAGGAUAGAGGCCUACCAGUGGUUUUAACGGGUAACGGGGAAUUAGGGUUCGAUUCCGGAGAGGGAGCCUGAGAAACGGCUACACAUCCAAGGAAGGCAGCAGGCGCGCAAACUACCCAAUCCCGAUACGGGGAGGUAGUGACAAUAAAUAACAAUACAGGGCUUUCUAGUCUUGUAAUUGGAAUGAGUACAAUUUAAAUCCCUUAACGAGGAACAAUUGGAGGGCAAGUCUGGUGCCAGCAGCCGCGGUAAUUCCAGCUCCAAUAGCGUAUAUUAAAGUUGUUGCAGUUAAAAAGCUCGUAGUUGAAUUUUAGGCCUGGUUGGACGGUCUGCCUUUGGUUUGUACUGUCCUGACUGGGUCUUACCUUCUGGUGAGCUGUCGUGUUGUUUACUCAAGUGCGGCAGGGAACCAGGACUUUUACUUUGAAAAAAUUAGAGUGUUUAAAGCAGGCAUUCGUUGAAUACAUUAGCAUGGAAUAAUAGAAUAGGAACUUUGGUUC
rnacentral:rRNA from 1 species